rnacentral:lncRNA from 1 species
AUGACACUCUGUCCUGUGAUAUUUUUAAUCAAGAGCGCGGGAGAGCGUGUGUCUGAUGCACUCCAGAUAGUCAGAGAUGGAAAUGGUUUUGUUCUUGUGUUUUCUCUUUUCAACCCAGCGCUAAGUCAGAGCUGCCUGAGGAAGACUCCACACGCGUUUCCCUUGAGCUGGUCUGCAGGCCCCUCCGGCUGGGACCCUGUCCUAGGAGCUGCCCGUCUGCAAACAGUUCAGGGGCCUUCUGGAGGAGUGGCCACCCAGCCUGUUUCGAUUAUGUUCUGUCCAGAACCGGCAGACAAGGGCACGGGCCUUCCGCUAGUAGACAGAGGCGCCGGGAGAGCUCGUCCUUCUGCAGCCGGAGAGCAUCCCUCUCGGAGUCGCCCUGCAUCUCCUUGGCCUUUCUGAUUGCUUCCCGGCAUUUUUUAUAGUCUCUCAUCUGUUUCUGUUCGGGGGUCACCAAACGGCUGGUUGCCAGUGAUGGGCAUCACAGCACGGCUGGGCCAGGCCUCCCUGUCACCAUCCCGAGCUCUGCAGCCCACAAUACCUAGUCUAGGGACGUCCAGGGCUCUGUGAGAAGGAGCCUGGUGAGGAUAGGGCCUCUCCACCUCUCCUGACAGGCCAGUUCAGAACAUCGNNNNNNNNNNNNNNNNNNNNNNNNNNNNNNNNNNNNNNNNNNNNNNNNNNNNNNNNNNNNNNNNNNNNNNGAACUGUCCCCCCCUUCCCCACUGUGCAUGAGGACCUCGCGGGGCUAGGAAGUGAGGGGCUGCCACAGGGACUCGUGUCUUCUGGGUCUUCUGAUCCCUCGAUCAACACGUGCCAGGCGGAAGUCGUUUGUCCAUGAACUGUCUUGGAAGGCAAACAUGCCUGCCUGGCUGUGGGCGUCUUGGCCCCAAACCUUCCUCCAGCAGGGGGUUGUACGGGACAGAGUGGCGUCCCAGGGGUAGGAGCCCCAGGGUGUAAGGAGCUGAGAGAAGAGGUUGUCACUGGAGUUUUCUGUGUCCUUGGUUUGGAGUCAACUCUGGAGGCCUUUCAUGGGGUUGAACUGUGACAUUGGGAUGUGUGUGUGUGUGCGUGCGUGUGUGUGUGUGUGUGUGUGGUAGACACACUCCAUGCUGGUGAGGAUUUUUUUUCUCAAAAUUCUAUUCCUAAUCCUGGAAUAUGAAGGAAGUAGAAAUAGGGCAUUGCUGUGGUCCAGCUGCUGUGAAAGAAGAAUGUCAUGCACGUUGUAUCUUGACACCCACAGAGCAUCAUAGAAUGUCUGAGCGGUGGGGGAGAGCCAGGGAGCUUCUUGUCCAUCUCCCUCCUUUUAUGACCAAGAGGGAGACUGGUCUCUGAAAGGCCGCUGACUUACACCAGGACCCUCAGCCACGUGCAGAGACAGCUCUCUUGCAUCCCGCCCAGGCCCUUUGAGGGAUGGCAUCACUGUUGCACUGAAUAAGAGUAACUGCCUUCAGUGGCUAGCAAUCCUGUGCCCCUGGUCCUCCCACUGCGGCCGGCAGGGCGGAGGUGUGAAUUAAUUUCACAGAGGUCUGUGUGCUCUGGAGAUGUGUGGUCUGAGUGUGCUUUAUCUGCCUUGUUUUCGGGAACUCGUGUAUGGAUGUGAGAGUUGGACUAUAAAGAAAGCUGAGCGCCAAA